CAAAAUGUAGCUUAACCAAAGCCCCUUGCUUACACCAAGAAUAUAUUCAUUAACCCGGAUCAUUUUGAG
rnacentral:tRNA from 1 species